rnacentral:rRNA from 1 species
GACGAACGCUGGCGGCGUGCCUAAUACAUGCAAGUUGAGCGCUGAAGGUUGGUACUUGUUCCAACUGGAUGAGCAGCGAACGGGUGAGUAACGCGUGGGGAAUCUGCCUUUGAGCGGGGGACAACAUUUGGAAACGAAUGCUAAUACCGCAUAAAAACUUUAAACACAAGUUUUAAGUUUGAAAGAUGCAAUUGCAUCACUCAAAGAUGAUCCCGCGUUGUAUUAGCUAGUUGGUGAGGUAAAGGCUCACCAAGGCGAUGAUACAUAGCCGACCUGAGAGGGUGAUCGGCCACAGUGGGACUGAGACACGGCCCAAACUCCUACGGGAGGCAGCAGUAGGGAAUCUUCGGCAAUGGACGAAAGUCUGACCGAGCAACGCCGCGUGAGUGAAGAAGGUUGUCGGAUCGUAAAACUCUGUUGGUAGAGAAGAACGUUGGUGAGAGUGGAAAGCUCAUCAAGUGACGGUAACUAACCAGAAAGGGACGGCUAACUACGUG